rnacentral:lncRNA from 1 species
GCCCACUUCAGUGUGCAGAAGGUCCGAAAGGAGAGAAGGGAGAAUCAGGAGACUUGGGACCCUCAGGACUCCCGGGCCCAACAGGCCAGAAGGGCCAGAAAGGGGAGAAGGGCGAUGGAGGCCUCAAAGGACUGCCGGGAAAGCCGGGGCGAGAUGGUCGGCCAGGAGAGAUCUGUGUCAUUGGGCCCAAAGGGCAGAAAGGAGACCCUGGCUUUGUUGGGCCUGAGGGAUUGGCAGGAGAGCCUGGGCCCCCUGGCCUACCCGGACCACCUGGGAUAGGACUGCCUGGGACUCCUGGAGAUCCAGGUGGCCCACCAGGCCCUAAAGGAGCAAAGGGCAGCUCUGGAAUACCAGGAAAGGAAGGCCCAGGAGGGAAGCCGGGGAAGCCAGGAGUACCCGGGACUAAGGGAGAAAAGGGUGACCCCUGUGAAGUGUGUCCAACGCUGCCCGAAGGGUUCCAGAACUUUGUGGGGCUCCCUGGAAAGCCAGGGCCUAAAGGAGAACCAGGUGAUCCUGCUCCAGCCAGGGAGGGCCUAGGAACUGUUGGACUGAAAGGUGACCGGGGAGAUCCA